rnacentral:rRNA from 1 species
UACGGAGGGUGCAAGCGUUGCUCGGAAUUACUGGGCGUAAAGGGCGCGCAGGCGGCUGCUCAAGUCAGGCGUGAAAGGCCUGGGCUCAACCCGGGAAUUGCGCUUGAGACUGGGCUGGCUUGAGUGCGGGAGAGGAUGGUGGAAUUCCCAGUGUAGAGGUGAAAUUCGUAGAUAUUGGGAAGAACACCGGUGGCGAAGGCGGCCAUCUGGACCGCAACUGACGCUGAGGCGCGAAAGCGUGGGGAGCAAACAGG